UACGGGGGGGGCAAGCGUUGUUCGGAAUUACUGGGCGUAAAGGGCUCGUAGGCGGCCAACUAAGUCAGACGUGAAAUCCCCAGGCUCAACCUGGGAACUGCGUCUGAUACUGGAUGGCUUGAAUCCGGGAGAGGGAUGCAGAAUUCCAGGUGUAGCGGUGAAAUGCGUAGAUAUCUGGAGGAAUACCGGAGGCGAAGGCGGCAUCCUGGACCGGCAUUGACGCUGAGGAGCGAAAGCCAGGGGGGCAAACGGG
rnacentral:rRNA from 1 species